rnacentral:lncRNA from 1 species
AUGCUGGGGACUAGCUUUUCAGAGCAGCCCUGGGAGUCGGGGGGCAGGACCCGUUUCCAGCAAGGACUGGGCUUGGCUCCGGGUCCUGGGCAGAGGAGGGAAGGCCUGCACUAGCUCCCUCCCCAGGGCAGGCUCUGCCCUUCCACCCUGCGCUGCCUCGAGGAGCUGAACCCCGCCGGCACCUGGCGACCGCCCCGGGGCGCAGGACCAGCCAGGCGGAGGAGCUGACGAGAGGGCAGCGCCGUGCCGGGGGGGUGGUGUAGCUGCCUGACUGCCUCCCCCUCAGCGGGGCCGGGCGGGGCGGGAGCCGGCGCCUCGCCGCCACUCCGCGCGCUGCUGCUGCGGGAAGCCGCUCUGGGCUGGGAUUAGCAGCCGCCCCCUCCCCGCUCUCUUCCUCUCCCUCCUUCCUCCUGUCUCUGCGCGGCGGCGGCGGCGGAGCUCUACCUCUGUUAAAUAUGAAGAUUUGAGGAAACAAUUCUGCUGAAGAGACUCAUGGUCUAGUCCUAACAUCAGAAGAGGUCUGAUCCUAUCUUCUUGUGCACUCAGAAUCCAUCAGUUUGAGUUAAAAUCCCACUGAAUGCUUCAAGAAAGUACAAAUUACAUUGGUACUACUCUAUAUUAUAUACAAAAGCAGGCACCAUUCCUAGGAGACCACAAGGAUCGUUAUUGUUCAGGAUUUCAAAGAGCCAUCAUUUAUGUUUGUGGACACAAGUGA